rnacentral:rRNA from 1 species
UACGUAGGGUGCGAGCGUUGUCCGGAAUUAUUGGGCGUAAAGAGCUCGUAGGCGGCUUGUCACGUCGGUUGUGAAAGCCCGGGGCUUAACCCCGGGUCUGCAGUCGAUACGGGCAGGCUAGAGUUCGGUAGGGGAGAUCGGAAUUCCUGGUGUAGCGGUGGAAUGCGCAGAUAUCAGGAGGAACACCGGUGGCGAAGGCGGGUCUCUGGGCCACUACUGACGCUGAGAAGCGAAAGCAUGGGGAGCGAACAGG